UUUCUCUUCGAUGUCGUCUAGUGCAUUGAGGAGCAUGUCGCGGUUAAGUUUGACGUUCAGUGGCAUCUUGGAGCGGCGUAAGUUGGUUACAUUUACUUCGGCGGGUGCCAUCGCUUCGACUCCAUAGGCCAUCGAGAAAGGGGUAGCUUUUGUCGCUCCGCGCGGAGUUGUCCUAUGGGACCACAGGACACUGUCCAGUUCAUCGGCCCCACAACCCUUCUUCAAGUCGA
rnacentral:lncRNA from 1 species